AACAAGACGGAAGAGAGUCACUCUUACCGUCGUGCAUACCUUAAGCGGGUCUGCCGCCUUCGUUUCUCUUUCUUCGCGAAUGACUUUGAUUGCGCUCGCGCGCCGUGUCGGCCUUUGGCCUGGCGCUCCGCGAGGGCGCGGCACGAGCCGCGACGGCCGGUCGGCCUUGCGAGGCUCUGCCUCGAAGCUGACGACCAUCUGCGCUUGGGGCUUAGGGCUUGUAGCUCAGUUGGUUAGAGCGCGCGCUUGAUAAGCGUGAGGUCGGAGGUUCAAGUCCUCCCAGGCCCACCACUUCGCAAUCCGCAAGGAUUGUCGAUCUCCUCGACAGGUUCGAAGAGGUAUAUUCAGGGGCCGUAGCUCAGCUGGGAGAGCGCCUGCUUUGCAAGCAGGAUGUCGUCGGUUCGAUCCCGUCCGGCUCCACCACCUCGCGCAAUCCGCAGGAUUGUCGCUGCACAAUCCGCAGGAUUGUCGCUUCUUCUCCGGGAGAAAAAGGGUGUCGAGUGGAUGUGAAACCGGUUGCAAAGUCAUUCGUUUAAGAGUUUGCGGCGAGCCUUUUGGCUCUCCGCCUGUUCUGUAUGACAUCGUAAAGAGAAGAUUUGUUCGAACUUCAUAUCGCGCAAGGGGUGUGAUUUGUCGCGGGAGACGCUCAAUCUCCCGCAUAUGAUGGGUUUGCCUAACCGCACCCUCGAACCGAUCUCGAGAAGCUGGUCUUUUUGUG
rnacentral:tRNA from 1 species